UAGUCUGUUGCAUGCUGAGUUUGGGGGAGCAGAAGAGUCUCGCGGGGAUAGUCAGUGCGCAGGGAGACUAGCACAGGCCGGCAGAGAAGUGACCCAGCCCCGGAUUGCCUGGUAACCUUCCGUUCCCAGGAGGCUGCUGUGAGGCUCCUCUGGCUUCAUGGAGUAUAAUGGACCCACAGCCAUCUCCUUCCCCAACACCAACUCUGCCUGCAUUUUAGGCCAGGUUUGUAGGAGAGUUGAAUGAAGAUUGAAUGAAUGAAUGAUGAAAAGUACAAAAUGCCAUCACUUCACUUCUUUCAGGAAGACCCAGGACACUCUGCUGCA
rnacentral:lncRNA from 1 species